rnacentral:sRNA from 1 species
UGGUAGAUGCACCCUGGUUAAGCCCUAGAGAAUCCUCUGGGGCAUUUUUUU